rnacentral:rRNA from 1 species
GGUUAAGCGACUAAGCGUACACGGUGGAUGCCCUGGCAGUCAGAGGCGAUGAAGGACGUGCUAAUCUGCGAUAAGCGUCGGUAAGGUGAUAUGAACCGUUAUAACCGGCGAUUUCCGAAUGGGGAAACCCAGUGUGUUUCGACACACUAUCAUUAACUGAAUCCAUAGGUUAAUGAGGCGAACCGGGGGAACUGAAACAUCUAAGUACCCCGAGGAAAAGAAAUCAACCGAGAUUCCCCCAGUAGCGGCGAGCGAACGGGGAGCAGCCCAGAGCCUGAAUCAGUAUGUGUGUUAGUGGAAGCGUCUGGAAAGGCGCGCGAUACAGGGUGACAGCCCCGUACACAAAAAUGCACAUGCUGUGAGCUCGAUGAGUAGGGCGGGACACGUGGUAUCCUGUCUGAAUAUGGGGGGACCAUCCUCCAAGGCUAAAUACUCCUGACUGACCGAUAGUGAACCAGUACCGUGAGGGAAAGGCGAAAAGAACCCCGGCGAGGGGAGUGAAAAAGAACCUGAAACCGUGUACGUACAAGCAGUGGGAGCACGCUUAGGCGUGUGACUGCGUACCUUUUGUAUAAUGGGUCAGCGACUUAUAUUCUGUAGCAAGGUUAACCGAAUAGGGGAGCCGAAGGGAAACCGAGUCUUAACUGGGCGUUAAGUUGCAGGGUAUAGACCCGAAACCCGGUGAUCUAGCCAUGGGCAGGUUGAAGGUUGGGUAACACUAACUGGAGGACCGAACCGACUAAUGUUGAAAAAUUAGCGGAUGACUUGUGGCUGGGGGUGAAAGGCCAAUCAAACCGGGAGAUAGCUGGUUCUCCCCGAAAGCUAUUUAGGUAGCGCCUCGUGAAUUCAUCUCCGGGGGUAGAGCACUGUUUCGGCAAGGGGGUCAUCCCGACUUACCAACCCGAUGCAAACUGCGAAUACCGGAGAAUGUUAUCACGGGAGACACACGGCGGGUGCUAACGUCCGUCGUGAAGAGGGAAACAACCCAGACCGCCAGCUAAGGUCCCAAAGUCAUGGUUAAGUGGGAAACGAUGUGGGAAGGCCCAGACAGCCAGGAUGUUGGCUUAGAAGCAGCCAUCAUUUAAAGAAAGCGUAAUAGCUCACUGGUCGAGUCGGCCUGCGCGGAAGAUGUAACGGGGCUAAACCAUGCACCGAAGCUGCGGCAGCGACACUAUGUGUUGUUGGGUAGGGGAGCGUUCUGUAAGCCUGUGAAGGUGUGCUGUGAGGCAUGCUGGAGGUAUCAGAAGUGCGAAUGCUGACAUAAGUAACGAUAAAGCGGGUGAAAAGCCCGCUCGCCGGAAGACCAAGGGUUCCUGUCCAACGUUAAUCGGGGCAGGGUGAGUCGACCCCUAAGGCGAGGCCGAAAGGCGUAGUCGAUGGGAAACAGGUUAAUAUUCCUGUACUUGGUGUUACUGCGAAGGGGGGACGGAGAAGGCUAUGUUGGCCGGGCGACGGUUGUCCCGGUUUAAGCGUGUAGGCUGGUUUUCCAGGCAAAUCCGGAAAAUCAAGGCUGAGGCGUGAUGACGAGGCACUACGGUGCUGAAGCAACAAAUGCCCUGCUUCCAGGAAAAGCCUCUAAGCAUCAGGUAACAUCAAAUCGUACCCCAAACCGACACAGGUGGUCAGGUAGAGAAUACCAAGGCGCUUGAGAGAACUCGGGUGAAGGAACUAGGCAAAAUGGUGCCGUAACUUCGGGAGAAGGCACGCUGAUAUGUAGGUGAAGUCCCUCGCGGAUGGAGCUGAAAUCAGUCGAAGAUACCAGCUGGCUGCAACUGUUUAUUAAAAACACAGCACUGUGCAAACACGAAAGUGGACGUAUACGGUGUGACGCCUGCCCGGUGCCGGAAGGUUAAUUGAUGGGGUUAGCCGCAAGGCGAAGCUCUUGAUCGAAGCCCCGGUAAACGGCGGCCGUAACUAUAACGGUCCUAAGGUAGCGAAAUUCCUUGUCGGGUAAGUUCCGACCUGCACGAAUGGCGUAAUGAUGGCCAGGCUGUCUCCACCCGAGACUCAGUGAAAUUGAACUCGCUGUGAAGAUGCAGUGUACCCGCGGCAAGACGGAAAGACCCCGUGAACCUUUACUAUAGCUUGACACUGAACAUUGAGCCUUGAUGUGUAGGAUAGGUGGGAGGCUUAGAAGUGUGGACGCCAGUCUGCAUGGAGCCGACCUUGAAAUACCACCCUUUAAUGUUUGAUGUUCUAACGUUGACCCGUAAUCCGGGUUGCGGACAGUGUCUGGUGGGUAGUUUGACUGGGGCGGUCUCCUCCUAAAGAGUAACGGAGGAGCACGAAGGUUGGCUAAUCCUGGUCGGACAUCAGGAGGUUAGUGCAAUGGCAUAAGCCAGCUUGACUGCGAGCGUGACGGCGCGAGCAGGUGCGAAAGCAGGUCAUAGUGAUCCGGUGGUUCUGAAUGGAAGGGCCAUCGCUCAACGGAUAAAAGGUACUCCGGGGAUAACAGGCUGAUACCGCCCAAGAGUUCAUAUCGACGGCGGUGUUUGGCACCUCGAUGUCGGCUCAUCACAUCCUGGGGCUGAAGUAGGUCCCAAGGGUAUGGCUGUUCGCCAUUUAAAGUGGUACGCGAGCUGGGUUUAGAACGUCGUGAGACAGUUCGGUCCCUAUCUGCCGUGGGCGCUGGAGAACUGAGGGGGGCUGCUCCUAGUACGAGAGGACCGGAGUGGACGCAUCACUGGUGUUCGGGUUGUCAUGCCAAUGGCACUGCCCGGUAGCUAAAUGCGGAAGAGAUAAGUGCUGAAAGCAUCUAAGCACGAAACUUGCCCCGAGAUGAGUUCUCCCUGACU